AUGAGCAGCGGGUCGAUCUCGUCGGACAGCGAGAUGCUGAUGGAGGAGAUCAUCUCCCUGCGGAGAGAGCGGAAAGACCUCAUGGAGUCUCUUACUCCCAGGAUUUCUUGCUGGAGGGAUCAGAUCUCUGGAGCAGCAAUCUCGUCCUUCCAUAAGAUGGACUCGAGCACCAUCAAACCAGCCUCCAGUUUCCAGUCCGACUCACAGCAGCAGGUAUACUUGACAGACGACUUCGAUGUUCUGGAGGACGUCGAGGAUUUGGGCCAGCGGAUGCUAUCUUUGGCACAUUCUCUUUCGACCUCCCAUGCCCCCAUCUCCUUGUACAAGGCGGACGAGCUGGUUAGCACAACAUCCAAAUUAGAGAGGAUCUCGGUGGAUUUCUACAAUUCUACCGAGGCGGCAAUGGAGGAGGCAGCGGAGGAGGAGAGGGAUAGGAUGGUGGAGAUUCGGAAGACAGAAGGAGAAGGUACUGCUGAGGAGUUGGAUGAAGAGAUGGAGAUAAGGAAGACGAAGCAGACUCAGGAGAAGAAGAUGAGGAAUGAUGAUGAGCUGAGCAAGCUUUUUCUGUCCCACGAAUUCUUGCAACUCUCCUCCAAUGUCCUGGAUAGACCCUACUGCUACAAAAAUGAGUUGGCCAUGCUGUUUACGGUGGAGGAAGAGGAGGAGUAUGAGAGGGUGAUGGAGGCAGAGAGGGAGAUGGAGAGGCAGAGGGCGAAGAGUAAGCAGAGGAGGCAGAGGGAGAAGAACAAGCAGCAGAUUAUGGUGAAGGAGGAGCGCGUUGCUGAUGAGCAGCAAACAAAAUCUCAAACGGAGCAACUCAAAGAGUGGAGGAUGAUGAGCUGGAAUUUUUCGCAGGCCACCGUAGCACCUGGGAACGCUCUAGUGGCAGCAAGGCUGGGCGGUUCGGUGGCUUCGAAGAUAAAAGUAACGACAUUAAGUCCUCUCCAAUUUACGCACUGCACACCCGGUAUCCUUCUGCCCCGUGCCGCUGUCACUGAAAGAACGUUGCAAAUCUACUCAUUCAAACUUGUUGGACUAACGGAGCAGCUGAAGUGGCCACUCUCUGUUUAUGGCGUGGUUGCUGCCCGAGACACCGUAGACCGCAACCGCAACCUUCUCUUCUCUCGGUCGAGGAUCAGGGGUCAAUUACUCUCUGGACAUGACUCUUAUCUGCGCUUGACUGGCCCGUCUCGAGCAAUUCUAGUUGGGGAUUAUGUUGACUUUGAAGUUGAACUAAAAGUACGUGAUGGAGAUGAUGAGCACAAUGAUACACAGUUGAUGUGUGUUAGCAAGCGGUAUAAAGAAGCAGACGGCGACGGUGAGCAACCUUUACUCUUCGAUAGCCCAUUCUGUACUGCGGAGUUGAGGUUUGAGCUUUUUCCUACGACGGUCCAGCUCACUGUAUUGUCCGUUCGUGUUGUUGGAGGGGAGUUCCCUUUUAGCUCUGGGGGUCAGGUUGCUUGUAUUGUUUCUGGCCGUGAGAGGGUUGUGCUGUUUGAUUCUACUGAAAAAAUUACUAGAGAAGACGAAGUAGUUUUGGAUGGUUAUGUUCCUUUGUCAAGAAACGCCAUUUCAGUAGAGUUUGAAAAAGGAGUGACUGUUGAGGUAACAGCCUAUGUUGAUUCUGGUUCUAUCUCUGAUCUUGUCCACUUCCCUUCCAAGUGGUGCAACAUUAGUCAGGAUAGAUGUUUCAUCUGUGGUUCUGAGGUGGAGAUUACCGUUGCAUGGUCCCAGGUUGUGAGAGACAAGAUGGAGAUGUUGCUGGAGGGAUACGCUACCCAGGAAGUAGCCUUGAAAGCCAAGUUUGCUUGUACUGGCAUUAUGUUUACUUGUGUUGUGUGCCAUUGCAAAUAUUCUGCUCAGCUGCUUAAUACAUUACCUCCCCCACCAAGCUCUCUCUCUCUAGAUCUCUUAGAUCGUCAGCUGGUCGCGGAGGCACAUAUAGGUUUCGGCUCCACUAAUGGCGACAUCAAGGGCUGGUUCAGGCCGGCUAUCGUGGAGCCUGUUUCUUCGUGGACCCAAUUCUUCGACGAGUUGCUGGAGAAAGACAGGGGCUUGAGGGGGAUUCGGAUUCUACGAGUCGGAGCGGCAUAUGGGGCGGUUCCUGAGCCUGGUAUGCGAGGGAUCGGCACCAGGGCAGGCAAGCGGUUCCUGGCAUGGCAACAUUGGUGCAGCACACCGGCUCAGUCGCCCGGACCAAGGGGAGGCUCGUUCACAAAUGGUGCUGGCCUAAUUCACCGCUUCCAGUUCCAUUGGGCUUUUAUAAGAUGGCAGGGCAUGCAUGCAUUGGCCCUUCUCUACUUGGUACUUCAAUCAAAUGGUGGUAGUCAAUUUUAUCUAAGAGCUAUGUCUGAUAUGUGGCCUCUCAAGUGA
rnacentral:rRNA from 1 species